rnacentral:lncRNA from 1 species
GCCUGUUUUCUUACCUGCAAAAUGUGAGGCAAUGAGAAUGCUAACCUCACAGAAUUGCUAUGAGAGCUACCGUUCAUUGAGGGAUUACCAAGUACCGGGUGCUGGCUAACAACUUCUAGUCAUUGUCUUUGUUUUUUACAACUUUGUGAAGUAUUACUGUUGGAAGAUGCAAUGAGGUAAUGCAGGUAAAGCGAUCAGCAUAGUGCCAGCACAUAACAAUGUGAACUACUUUUAUUAUUAUUACUAAUACUUUGUGGGGUAGUCCCCAGCAAACUGCACAAUUCACAGCCUUUUCCAGCCUAUGAAUCGGGAUAUCUCUUCCUAGCUGGCAGAAUCAUCCUGAUGCUUGGAGAUUUCCACUUAAGAGGAACACGCACUACCAGCUUCAUCGUCAGGACCCAGGUGGGCAAGUUGACGGUGGUCAGGCUGCAGCAGACACUUUUAGUUGCAUGUAAAUUAUCUAGGUGCCCUUUCCUAAUUAGAGAAGAAAGUGAGUUUCUGCUAUUUUAAAAAUUCUUCCCUGUAUGGGAAUUUUUCUUUCAUGCUAUAUUCUCCUCUUGGUGUCUUGUCUAAUUUUCCUUUUCUCCCCCCAUCUAUUGUUCAACUGAGGUGUGAAAGAAGUUGAAAUCCACCUGUAAACCCGGGGGUGCCACAUCCCUUCAUUUAUUCACUCACUGAUUCACUCAACAAACAUUCACUGAGGAUUACUCUGUAAAUGGCCACGUACUGGGUGCUGAGGACAAAAAAGGUGAAGGCCACUGCCAUUCAUGUGGCUACACUGUUCUGUCCCCUUUCGGUCCCUGCCCUUGAAAGUUCCCAAUUCUUGCUGACCUCCUGGAAAAGCCUAGAGAAAUACCAUCAAAUAACGGAGAGAUAAUUUCCCUUCAAGACUUUCACUAGGUCAGUUGUUCUAACCUUUUUAGGAGGCAAAAGGAAUAGAGAGGGGGAGGCAGCCAGCCAGGAUUAUUUGCGGCAUUUUAGAUAGGAAAGCUGAGUUCCAGAGAGGGGAGGGAAGGCAAGAGAGGGAAAGGAACUCAAUUAUUUCAUAGAGUCAGGCCUUGUGCCUUUUUAUUCUCAUACAUGCCUUGUGAGGUGGGUAUUUUUAUCAUCAUUUUACAUGGGCAAAAACUGACACUUAGGUUAAGGAGCUCAUCCAAGUCACCCAAUCUAUAGGUGGCAGAGCUGGGCUUAAAACACAGGUGUGAUCUUGGAACUAAGCUCUCAGCCUGCUGACUCAGCAACUACACUGCAGGUCAGUAGUGGAUUUGGGAACCUCCUGCUUCCCAGUCCUCUGCCUGGUCUUCUAGGCCAACAGUUUUACAACUUGGACACGCAUCAGAAUCACCUGGAGGGCCUGUGAAAACACAUAACGCUGAGCCAUACCCCCAGUUUCUGAUUCAGUAGGUCUAGGGUGGGGCUGAGAAUUUGCAUUUUUAACUAGUUCCCAGGUGAUGAUGAUGAUGAUGAUGGUCCACGGACCACAGUUUGAGAACACUGUUCUAGGUGUUCUCUUUCAAAAUAAUGACUCCCUCUCUUCCCCUUAACGACUCCAAAGGUAACAUAGGUUUGUAAAAUACAACAAAUAUAUAACAUGUAGAACCUACAGAAAAAUAGGAAGAAUGGAAUUCAUCCACAUUCUUCUGCUCAGAAAUAACCACUCUUAACAGUUUGGCACAUCUCCUCUGUCUUCUUUUCAGAGGCUAAGCACAGAGGAAGCGGGGUGGCCUAUGGCUGCUCGGCUAAGACCCGGUUAAGAUCCCAGUGCUUCCGUGAGACCUUGGGCAAGCCUGAACCAGGUCUGGGUCCCCUCUUCGGCAAAACUGCAUUUACACUCCCAUCCCGCAUUAGUUUGUUGGGAGGGUUUAAAGAAGAGCGUGUAUUUAUCAAGCACUCGACACAAUGUCAGAUGCGGAGUCAGCGCUCCAUAAAUGUUGGCUGUCAUUUUUGUUCUAACGUAAGAGAAAGCUGGAUGAUCCCAUCUGGGUUUCAGCCCCGUUUUCCCUCUUCACUCCUCCGGUGGGUCAGUGGGAGCUCUGCCGACCGCCUGGCUGCGGCCACUCACUGCUGGGACUGCGCAGCCUGCCCGCUCCCAGCAGCUGGCGGAGCCGCAGGACCCCCGCGCCGCCCGGGCCGCCGCCGUUAGGGUUGGCUCAAGCCUCUCGGCCCAGUCCGCCAGUUUUACAGCCCGAACUCAAAGAGGGCUUUUAACUUUUCAUUCAGCAGCAGCGUAGCUCCGACUUUUAAUAACACACCUCGUGCACGACAAAAAUUUGCUCCUGGCAAUCAUGGUUUCGACCACAAAACCACAGCGGGGAGGCGUUCCUGAUUAACUCUUUCAGCGCUCCAGGCAGUCUGGAGCCGGCGCUCCUGGAGAUCAGAUAGAACGGCGGCGGCGGCCGCGGUCAGGACUGCGACGGUUCUAGUCCCCUUCCCCCAACCGAGUCGCGUCUCUGCGAGGCUGAGGGGAGACUCCAGGCGGCAGCGGUGGGGCCCAGAGAGCAGGGAGCGAGGCCGCGGGGGACGCUCCUGCCUCGGUGCCUUAGACCUACUGUGUGCCAAGCCCCUUUGCGGCGAAACUCUCCCUUCCUGGGCUGUCAACGGGGCCUGCCUGGAGCGCCGGCCGGCCCUCCAGAGGGGAACAACAGGUCACCGGGGAGGUCGCCUGCGGCUCCAGCUCCCCGGGGGCCCCGACGCACCUUCAGGAAAACCCGACGCUGGGCAGCUCGCGGGCGCCGGCUGUUUUCCUGCGAGACCCAGGCGGUCGGCGGCGACUUCCGGCGCCCUCGGCCGCAGCCCAGGAUCCCUUGCGCCCUGCGGUAGCCCGGGGCUGCCCAGGGCUGCGGGCUCCAGGCACCCAGAGCGCUGCGACCACAUGAAAGGCCCGGCGCUCAGCACCCGCCAGCCACCUCCAGCUGGUUUCUAACUACACCGCCGGGGCCUCCAUGCUUCUCAGAGACCAGCCUUCGAAGUGCCGCCUUACACCCGGGGCCUGGCCACCGGGCGGGCGCGGAUGGAGCUCUGGUCCACAUUUGGGAGCUCACAGUUGUUCCUGCCAGAUGUGGAAGCUGAGACUUAAAGAAGCUAUGAAACUUGAUCAGGUCAUGCAGCGCCAGAGGACCCAAGGUGGGAUCUCAACCCAGACUGUUUGGCUCCAAAGCUGAACUGCUACAUUACGUUGCUUCAGCAAACAGUCAUUCAGGUAACUUGGUGAGGACGUGCUCAGUUCAAGUAACUAUGCCACAGUCUGGGGAGAGAAAUGAAUAAGGUAUAUUCCUGUACACAAGCCCACUGGGGAAACCUUGAUGAAACCCUUCUACUCGAAAACCUUUCCUCUGCUUGCAACUAGAUGUUUGGAAACAUUGUUUUGUUGUCAAAUUUCACAAAAUAUCUUGUGUUGGAGGAGUCUGUUAGACUUCUCUAAUUUCACCCUUCAGGUGAUGCAGAAGUCUCUACUGCCGACUACCUGCCCUCACACACACAUACACAGAAGGUGGAGCACAUCUAGCUUGGAUUUUAGAGCCAGUCUACGUGAGUCUGUAUCCUGGCUCAACCAUUCACUACUUGUGUGACCUUGGGCAAGUCCUUUGAGCUCUCUGAGUCUCAGUUUCUUCAUCUGUAAAAUAGGCAUAAUUUCACCGUUGUGAGGUUUUUGCAAAUAAGGUAACACACUGCAAAACAUUCAGCACCACUCUGGUGUAUAGUUAAGACCUGAUAAGUGUCAGCCAUUGUCUUUUAUCAUUAGGGAUGGGCAUCUCUUGCCACCCCAGUGAAACAGUUCCUUGUCCUGUCUCUUUCUUUGCUUCUGCCUCCCGGGGCACUCAGCCCAAGGCAAAUGUGCCUGAAGAUGGGGGUUAGUCAUCAGGUUCCCCUGCCUCAGAGGAUGAGAGCAUGACUGCUGCUCUCUGCCCAGUCUCCUAAGAAAUCUGAUUCAUGCCUUGCCAGUACUCUAUGAAUAUGCAUACUUCACCUGCAGCCCUGUCUCCUUUCACAAUGAGCUCAGUCAUUUGUACCUCCUGGGUCAUGUGCAGACAUCCUCAGUAUUACCCACUGAUGGGUGUUGGAGAAACUGCUAAGAAGAUGAGUCUUGAUAGGCAGGUGACAGUGACUUGACUCUCUAGUCCAUGGCUUUGCCUGUUUCGCCAUAUUUCAAAACUGCCAGGGGCUUCUGAAUUGACUGAUGACCCAACAUAGGGUCACAGUAUUUCAUUUGGCUGCUCUUAGACUGAAGUGACAACUUGGGAUAGCCCCAUCUGAAUGGGACCAGUUUGGGAGCCUUUUGUUUCACCCUCUUUCUCUCUCCAGUCUUUGUGGGUUCCCUGAAACGUGUGAGGUGGUUUGGGGAUGUUGAAAGUUAAGCCCCUCAAAGAGAAGACUUAUGCCUUAGAUUAGUGUUAGUGAUUACAAGCUCCGGGUUUUGAGACUGAUCUGGGUUUGAAACCUGGCUCAGCUUUUUGUUAGCUGUGACCCUAAGCUUCAUAACUUGUUUCUCUGAGUCUGUUUCCUUAUCUAUAAAUGGGAUUAAUAAUAGUAUUUAUUUCAUAGGAUGGUCGUAAGGAUUAAAUGCAUGUAAAGCACUUAAUAUAGUGCCUGGCACAAAGUAAGUGCCCCAUAGCUGUUACCAAUAUUAGGCAGCAGGAGAGACAGCACAGGACCAAGGGGCAAGAGAUCAAGGUUUGAGUUCCAGCUCUGCUGCUUGCUGGCUGUGUGACCUCAGGCAAGUCAUCUUCCUUCCCUGAGCCAGUUUCUCCAACUGUGAAAUGAAUGGUUUGAGUUUGAAGGUCACUCAGGUUCUUUCCAACUGUCUGAGAUCUGUGACUUUGAAGGUGACAAAAAAAGAAAACACAGGAAAAAAUAAUUAGUAGCAGAUGCCUUUAUCAGCCAAGAUAACAUUUCAUAAACCCCCGGGCCUCGACACCAUCUUCAAAAGCCACCCCAUCCCGCAGCUUCUAGGCAGAACCUUCUUGACCAGAUAGGGUGAAUGAACUGUUUGCAAGACUUUCUGGAGCCACAAGGAGGCCUCAGGGAAGGUGUAAGGCUAAAAAGCGAAGCCUGCAUCACAAAGGGAGCAGGCCUGAGAAAACCAGCUAACCCCAAACAUCAGACCUGGGGGAUUCUGCCUUUUGGUGCCUUGGGCGAGAAUCAUCCUCCACUUGACCAGAAUGGAUUAGUUUAUGGUAAGGGAGGGAUGUUGUCUCUAGAGCCUGGGGAUGUCCUGAUCUGUUGUAAAACAGGCCCCACCUGGGAAAUAGAACAUUUUCUUUUUUGGGGCCUAGUGACCUCUGACACCCCCACCCCCUUCUUCCUGGCCCACUGUGCAGUCUGAGUCACACCCAGCAGGAGACCAAUGCUGGGAAUGGAGGAGGCAUUCAGCAUCCCCCUUACCCACAAGAGUCUCCACCGAGUUAUUCUUAAGCCCUGCUUGAACCCUGAGGGGGAUGACAUGGGCAGGAUUUACAGAAAAUAAAAAAACAAUCAGUUUCAACUCGUUCUACCAGUUUUUGCCCCUUACAGUACAAAGUCUCUUAACCAAUCUUAAUGUAACAAAUUUCCCUUUACAGAGACAAUGGGCUUUAGAGGAGUUUAGUGAUGUUACUAACAAACAUAAGUACCUUGUACUAACCUCCUGGUGCCCAAGUGUUUGAGGUGAGAAAAACUGAAACAUGAAAAGCCCAGAGAGGUAAAGUGACUGGCUCAAGGUAAGUGGUGGAGUUGGUAUUUGAACCCAGAUCCCCUGUUACUUCAGAACCUCAGCUACCGCUGUGACUUUGGGUGCAAACCUGUCUGAAGCCUGUUGGUGAAGCUCUGCCCAGCUAUGAAGAGGCACAGAUCUGCCUGCCUCCCUUGGAAGGCUCAGACUCUUUUUCUGGAAGGCCUACCUUCUCAUCCUUUGGCAGUUGGGGGAACUGAAGCACAGUGAGGGAGAUAAGCGUGCCAUACAAUGAGAGGACAGAGCUCAGCGCUCUUCACUCAUGUGCCUGUGGGAAAGAGCCAGUUCUAGGGGUGGGGAUCGCGAAGGAGCACCCUACUUCCCUGUCCUUGUCACGUCCCAUGGCCAGUAGCCAUGUACUUUUUCCUCCUUUUUCUCUUGCCCAGCAAAUACAGGCUCCAGCUGCAGCCACUUUGAAGAUAAAGUUUCCUCCAUAGAAAUUCUGCAAUACAGAUGUCCUUCCGCGGUCCCAGUUCAGUCCUGCACCAGUUCCUUUUCCCACUGGGAAAUUUCUUUCCUCUUCCUACUUCCAUGCAACUGCGAGGCAAGGCUCAAGCCCACUUCCUUCUCCUUUUCCUGUGCCUCCCUGUGGAGGGAGCUCCCUCUUCUUCACAGCUCCAGGCUCUUCCCUACUCUGGCCCAACCUUAUGGGCAUUUUGCUCCAUAACUCUCCUCGAUCUGAACUGCUUCUGAUUUCUCUCAAGUCAUGUCGGGGAAUCUCACAAAUGCAUUCUGAGAAAUACAAGAAUGCCUGAGAUGUUCCCGGCAGAAAAGAUUCCAGGAUCAAAACAUUUGGGAAAAGCUUCACAUCUCUCCUUAGAAAUGAACAAGGCAUAGUCAUCAAGCAUCUGAAAAGUCCUGCAGUCAGGAAACCUACCUUGUUUGUUUUUUAACCCAGUAUUUCUCAAACUAAGAUGGCCAUGAUUUCAUCUCCUCCAUCCCCACUGACUCCUAUAACAACCUGUAGAACCAGUGAUCCACUGUGGAACACACUUUGGGAAACACUGUCCCCAGCCCUCCAAGAAGGCAUAGAGUUGACCUUGCCUUCAUUGAUUUAAACCCUUCCUGUUUCUCUGGGCUAUUUACUUAUUAUCUCACAUACAAAAUAAUCUAAGGUGAUGUCUGCCCAAUUGGGUUUUUAGGAAAGACAUACCCAAUGGGAAUGAAGAUUUUCUUAGCAGGAUUUGAUGAGCCCAUUACUAGAAAAAAAAUCAAGGAUUUCCCAGACUUUCAGGGUGAGGAGAGAAUUUGAUACAAGCAGCAGAGGCUGGGCGUAGUGACCCAUGCCUAGCACUUUGGUAGGCCAAGGAGGGAGGAUUGCUUGAACCCAGGAAUCCAAGACCAGCCUGGGCAACAUAGUAAGAUCCCAUCUCAAUUUUUUAAAGAAGGAUUUAUCAAACUUGUUUCCUAGUCAACGGAUAAAGCCAGAGAGGUAAUGGCCAGAAACCCAAAAUCUAGAGAGUACCAGAUAAAUACUUUUUGGGUGAAUGAAUGAAUGAGCAGGCUAUUGAUCACAAAGUUGGCAGACAUUGUGAAUGAAUGGAUGAAUUAAUAAACAAUCAAAUAACUGGUCUCCAGGCCUCCAGACUUUCUGAACUUCAUUGUAUCUACCUGCUGUGGCCACAUAUAUAUCUCCUCAAAACCCAGAUCUCAUCAGUCCACUCUUCUGUUCCCUGGCUGGCUCCCUGUUGCCUUCAGGAUAAAGUCUACAUGCCUUUGUCCUGGCAUUGAAAACUCUGCAAAACAAAGCUCCAACCUAGCUUUCCAUCCUUCUUUCUCUUCCCCAUUGGGUACCCCUUACUCUAGUCACACCAGUCCCCAAUUCACUUUAUCCGUCUCCUUUUCUUUCUCAAGCUAUUCUCUAUACCUCACCUUUUCUCCCCUGCCUCCAUUGUUGCUUAUUCAACCCUAGCAGUGCUUUCAGGCUCAGCUCAAACCUUAUCACCCAUGUUAAAUGAAAGAAGCCAGACACAAGAAGGGGACAUUCUGAAUGAUUCCAUUUAUAUGAAGGUUAAGAACAGGCAAAACUAUUGUGGGGAAAAAACAGAACUGUGGUUGCCUUUGGGGAGUGAGGAUUGAUUAGAAGGGGUUUUGGGGGUAUGAAAAUGUUCUUGAUCUUCAUUCCAGUGGUAAUUUCAUGGGUGAAUACAUUUGCCAAAAUUCACUGAAUUGUACACUAAAGAUCUGCAUUUCUCUGUAUUGUCAAUUUAAUCUAAAAAUAAAAAUCUUACCACCCAGAUCUCCCUGGCAAGAAUU